CUUGAAAAGAGAGUUAAACAGUACGUGAAAUUGCUGAAAGGGAAACGCUUGAAGUCAGUCGCGUCGUCCGGAACUCAGCCUUGCUUUUGCUUGGUGCACUUUCCGGUUGACGGGUCAGCAUCGAUUUUGACCGUCGGAAAAGGGCUGGAGUAAUGUGGCACCCUCGGGUGUGUUAUAGACUCUGGUCGCAUACGGCGGUUGGGAUCGAGGAACGCAGCGCGCCGUAAGGCAGGGGUUCGCCCACUUUCGCGCUUAGGAUGCUGGCAUAAUGGCUUUAAACGACCCGUCUUGAAACACGGACCAAGGAGUCUAACAUACCUGCGAGUGUUUGGGUGGAAAACCCGAGCGCGUAAUGAAAGUGAAAGUUGAGACCCCUGUCGUGGGGGGCAUCGACGCCCGGACCUGACGUUCUCUGAAGGAUCCGCGGUAGAGCAUGUAUGUUGGGACCCGAAAGAUGGUGAACUAUGCCUGAAUAGGGUGAAGCCAGAGGAAACUCUGGUGGAGGCUCGUAGCGAUUCUACGUGCAAAUCGAUCGUCAAAUUUGGGUAUAGGGGCGAAAGACUAAUCGAUCCAUCAGGGGGCCA
rnacentral:rRNA from 1 species